GGUCACCAACAAAUAGGCAAUCAGAAAAAGUUAAUGGUGGUCUAUGAAUGGGUACAGAGCCUAUCAAGAGGGAGGCAGCAGAGCCAGGUGGUAGAAAGUCAGACAGAUGCAGCUCUGGGUGUGGAUAUUGGGAAGGCCCAUCUUGGGUGGUGCCAACCAAUAGGCUUGUAGCCUGUGUGGAAUAAAAGGACAGAGAAGGCUCCCUGUUUGGCUGCUUUCUCCCUGCCACACCAGGAAUUAUUUCUCCACUGCCAUGCUGCCCUGCCUUGGAGCCAGCUGACUAUGGAUUGGAACCUCUACAAACUUCACAAUGAUGCGCUCUUUUUUAAUGGAUGAGGAAACUGGAGCUCAGGGUUUGAGUCACUGACCUAAGUGAUCACCAACUGCUGUGGCUCAGAGUGCCCUGCCGGAGGACCAAAAUAAUGAGUCCAAAUGGAUCUGCCUGACCUUGAACUGGAGCCUCCAAAAUUCUGAGCAUAAAUAAAAUGUUUUUCUCUAUAAGUUGCUUACGUCAGAGAUUUCUUUAUGGUGAUGGAAAGCAGACUAAUACAUCACCAGAGAAUGGUCAAUGGAUUGGUGAUACCCUGAUAAACAAUACUCAGUUUGUUCAAUACUGCAUCCUCAGCUCUUAACGUAGCAUUUGGUAGAUAGCAACCUCUAAUACAUC
ensembl:lncRNA